CACGUAGGGGGCGAGCGUUGUCCGGAUUCAUUGGGCGUAAAGCGCGCGCAGCGGCUCGGAAGUCGGGAUGGUGAAAGACUCGGGGGCUCAACCCCGGGCGUGCAUCCGAUACUGCCGGGCUUGAGGCAGGUAGGGGAGAUCGGAAUUCCUGGUGUAGCGGUGAAAUGCGCAGAUAUCAGGAGGAACACCGGUGGCGAAGGCGGAUCUCUGGGCCUGUCCUGACGCUGAGGCGCGAAAGCUAGGGGAGCGAACAGG
rnacentral:rRNA from 1 species